CGAAAAUCGUAAGUAUUAUAAUUUUGAACGUUGUACAUAAUAACGAAACUUAGGUAAGUACCACUUUUGGGUAUUUAUUUAAUAAACUUAAUAUAAGAGGGCUGCUCUUCUUUCUUUUCCAGGGAUGCUGAACAGAGGUCCUAUUAUGGCGGUGAUUGCUGGCAAUGGAGCUUAUUAUCCGUCAGUUAAUCUCUGGAGUAAAAGCAAAGGGACAACAUUAAGCUUUUGUGUAUGGGAGCAACUAACUCCUGGUGGUUAAUAACCUGUCCUACCUGCCUAGAGAGAGCUCUAUCUAUUCGGAGAGGAUAUGAGAAUAAAAAUUCGAAUAAUAAAGAAAACAAAAGGAAAUGUCUACCCUUAAGGCCACGUAUUUUCUAUACCCUUUUAUUCUAGGUUUAUGGGCAGUCCGUCCGUCGCAAGUAAUUAUCAAUAAGUUUGGAGGUACCUCAGCACCGCGGAAUGCCUGGUGCUCAACAGCGUAUCCAACGAUGGGCAGAGGAGUCGGGAUCGGUGGUCCAAAUAUCGUUAUCGAUGCUGGCAAAGGUGUUUGGUGCUGGAUUACUUCCUUUUGUUCAAAAGUUAUUGAGGUUUUUUUUUCUC